AGGACGAACGCUGGCGGCGUGCUUAACGACGAUGCAAGUCGAACGGAAAGGCCCGCUUGCGGGUACUCGAGUGGCGAACGGGUGAGUAACACGUGGGCAACCUGCCCUCAGCUUCGGGAUAACACUUGGAAACAGGUGCUAAUACCGGAUAAUAACCUUUCAUCGCAUGGUGUGGGGUUCAAAGUUUUUCGGCUGGGGAUGGGCCCGCGGCCUAUCAGCUUGUUGGUGGGGUAAUGGCCUACCAAGGCGACGACGGGUAGCCGGCCUGAGAGGGCGACCGGCCACACUGGGACUGAGACACGGCCCAGACUCCUACGGGAGGCAGCAGUGGGGAAUAUUGCGCAAUGGGCGGAAGCCUGACGCAGCGACGCCGCGUGAGGGAUGACGGCCUUCGGGUUGUAAACCUCUUUCAGCUCUGACGAAGCGCAAGUGACGGUAGGAGCAGAAGAAGCACCGGCCAACUACGCGCCAGCAGCCGC
rnacentral:rRNA from 1 species